rnacentral:lncRNA from 10 species
GUGGGGAAACCUGGAGGGAAAAAUGGAACUGAUCAGGUGCAUUUCAAUUGGGCCGUGGUAUUUUAGGCAACACCUCUGCUGGAGAGGUUGUUGCCUGCAAAACCGGAUGAAGGCAGUGCUGUCAGGGCUUGGUGCUCCGUGAACAGCCACCUGGGGUCUGCACGUGUCUUCUGCCUCCACCCACCCCCGCUCAAACCCCCUUCCCAGCACCUCCCUCUCUGCAAGGUUCCGGAGUGGCCACCCACAGAGCAGCUCUGGGCUGGGCGCUGAGUCAUGAGGCUGUGGUGCCUGCCAGGGGGCGAGGGUGGCAGAUGGCUUCAUGUGGGCGUGAGUGAGGAGGGGGGCAGAUGGGAGGGGCAGUGACCCUGGGCCCAGCAGAGAUCCAGGGAAGUGGCCUGGGAGGUAGGUCCCCAACUCUUCCUUCCCCCCGUCUUCACAGCCAUUUUCCAGGGAUGCCCAUUCCUGCUGGGGUAGCCAGCUGUGACCAGGUCAGUGUGGAAAGUGAGCCCUGGGAGACCUGAGGCCUGAGGCCCUGGGCUUCCGCUUGACCUGGCUGGGUCAGCCGUGGGAGGCAGAGCCUGGCUCUGUUUAUCCAGGCCGGACACUUCCGGAGCAGAUGGGCGCCUGUCAGAGCCACCAGCCAGGAACUGGGCUGACGUCCUCUCAUUGCCAAGUGGCAGUUCUGGGGCCAGCAUUGAACGCAAGGUGUCAGCAAGUCUCCUGCCAGAGGUCCUGACGGAGGGGCUGUUCCAGGCCAUGCUCCUGGCUUCCGGUGGUUGCCGGCAACCCUGUGCAUUCCCUGCUUGUAGAGGAACUAGAAAGAUAGAAUCUCUACGGACCCCACAAGACGACUGAUACUACAGACUAGACAAGAGCACCAGAUGAGAAAAUGGAGGUACCAAAAAGUGGGCUCUGAACUGCAGAGCCUGGCUCCAGAGCCCUUGUAUUUGACUACUGGGAUCCACCGUUAUUCUCACAGCCGCGUUUCCCACAGGGCUGCUUUGUAUGGCCUCUUAGAAAAGUCCUGCCUGUCUCCACCAUCCAGACUAUGAUGUCCGUGAGGUCAGAGGAAAGGGAGAAUGUCUCACAUACAGAAAAUGCUUGAUCAACAUUGAUGGAAUCAUAAAUGGGCCUCAGCGGCACCUGUCCUGAGUCAGCAUCUCACAGAGGUUUUGCCAGCGCCAGCCACAUCUCCAGCAUGAAGGUGAUUGUCUGAGUGUGUCCAGUCCAGUUCCUGCCUUAAUAAAAAUCACUGCUGCAAGGGAGAGGGCUGCCAAGGCCCUGCCUCCCUCCAACCCCAUCCUAGCCUGAGUCUUAACCAUUCUUCCAAUCCAGUUCCACUUUGGGCCAGUGCUUAACCCAGGGUAGCACUUUUGAGCCUCGCAACUCUUGGGAGUGAGUUUUCAUCCUAACGUUCUCAGAUGAGGAAAUUGGGCCUCAAAGAGUCCACACAGGUGAGGCACCAUGGCUCAUGCCUAUAAUCCUAACACUUUGGGAGGCCAAGGCAGGAGGAAUGCUUGAGCCCAGGAGUUCAAGACCAGCCUGGGCAACAUGGUGACACCCUGUCUCUAUAAAAAAAUACAACAAUUAGGCAAACGUGGUGGCAUGCACCUGUCAUCCCAGCUACCUGGGAGGCUGAGGUGGGAGGAUUGCUUGAGCCCAGGAGGCUGAGGCUGCAGUGAGCCAUGAUCCUGCCAGUACACUCCAGCCUGGGUGACAGAACAAGACCCUGUCUCAAAAACAAAACAAAACAAAAACAAAAACAAAGCAUCCACACAACUAGCAGGUGAAAAACUGGGGUUCAAACUCAGGCCUAUAACACUAAGGGCUGGGCCUGUCCCCACCAAAUCAGUCUUUCCUCAGACAGGCUGAGGUGUCCUCUAUAGACCAAAUAUCUGGAGGUCAGAACACUGAGACACUAGUUAUGUAAAGGCAGGGUGUGAGUUGGUGAGCUCAUCGAGAAAAUGCUUCCUGGGCUGGGUGCAGUGGCUCACACCUGUAAUCCCAGCACUUUGGGAGGCUGAGGUGGACAGAUCACCUCAAGUCAGGAGUUCAAGACCAGCCUGGCCAACAUGCUGAAACUCUGUCUCUACUAAAAAAUACAAAAAUUUGCCAAGCGCAGUGGCACAUGCCUGUAAUACUAGCUCCUCGGGAGGCUGAGGCAGGAGAACCGCUUGAACCCAGGAGGCAGAGGUUGCAGUGAGCCAAGAUUGCACCACUGAACUCUAGCCUGGGUGACAGAGCAAAACUCUGUCUCAAAAAAAAAAAAAGAAAAGAGAAAAAAGAAAGAGAGAGAAAGAAAGAGAGAGAGAAAGAGAAAGAAA